AUUGAACGCUGGCGGCAGGCCUAACACCUGCACGUCGAGCGCGCGGCGGACGGGUGAGUAAUGUCUGGGAAACUGCCUGAUGGAGGGGGAUAACUACUGGAAACGGUAGCUACUACCGCAUAACAUCAGAUGUGCCCAGAUGGGAUUAGCUCGUGGGUGGGGUAACGGCUCACCUCGGCGACGAUCCCUAGCUGGUCUGAGAGGAUGACCAGACACACUGGAACUGAGACACGGUCCAGACGCCUACGGGAGGCAGCAGUGGGGAAUAUGGCACAAUGGGCGCAAGCCUGAUGCAGCCAUGCCGCGUGGGUGAAGAAGGCCUUCGGGUUGUAAAGCACGUUCAGCGGGGAGGCGUUACCCGCAGAAGAAGCACCGGCUAACUCCGUGCCAGCAGCCGCGGUAAUUC
rnacentral:rRNA from 1 species